UACGUAGGGUGCGAGCGUUGUCCGGAAUUAUUGGGCGUAAAGAGCUCGUAGGCGGCCUGUCGCGUCGGAUGUGAAAGCCCGGGGCUUAACCCCCGGGUCUGCAUUCGAUACGGGCAGGCUGGAGUGUGGUAGGGGAGAUCGGAAUUCCUGGUGUAGCGGUGAAAUGCGCAGAUAUCAGGAGGAACACCGGUGGCGAAGGCGGAUCUCUGGGCCAUUACUGACGCUGAGGAGCGAAAGCGUGGGGAGCGAACAGG
rnacentral:rRNA from 1 species